rnacentral:rRNA from 1 species
GACGAACGCUGGCGGCGUGCCUAAUACAUGCAAGUAGAACGCACAGUUUAUACCGUAGCUUGCUACACCAUAGACUGUGAGUUGCGAACGGGUGAGUAACGCGUAGGUAACCUGCCUGGUAGCGGGGGAUAACUAUUGGAAACGAUAGCUAAUACCGCAUAAUAUUAAUUAUUGCAUGAUAAUUAAUUGAAAGGUGCAAUUGCACCACUACCAGAUGGACCUGCGUUGUAUUAGCUAGUAGGUGAGGUAACGGCUCACCUAGGCGACGAUACAUAGCCGACCUGAGAGGGUGAUCGGCCACACUGGGACUGAGACACGGCCCAGACUCCUACGGGAGGCAGCAGUAGGGAAUCUUCGGCAAUGGACGAAAGUCUGACCGAGCAACGCCGCGGGAGUGAAGAAGGUUUUCGGAUCGUAAAGCUCUGUUGUAAGAGAAGAACGGGUGUGAGAGUGGAAAGUUCACACUGUGACGGUAGCUUACCAGAAAGGGACGGGUAACUACGUG